GUAUAUGGGGUUCUUUGAUAUGCUCAAUAUAAACCUGUUCUUUUCAAAUCUUGGCUUGAACAUUGUGAUUUAGAUAUAAAACUUCAAUAUGUUGCAUUUUGAAGAAGUUUCAACACUGAUUGGAAAAACCACAGGCAAAGUUGUAAACCAUAAGGUUCGCAUAUCAAGCUGUAGAAUUUGUGAAAGGGCAAAGGGCAGAGGUGUCUUACCACGACAACAUAAGUGUAGAAAGAAUUGGAGUGGUUCGGCAAAGGGUAUGGAACCAGAUAUGGAAGUCGAAAUGUUAAAGGAAUUAGAUGAAAAAGGAGUGGAUAUAUUAGAAGUAGUAGGAGAUGAUGAUUCCACAGGUUUUGACUGAGCCAAGCGAUUAAUAAUGCCCAAUUCAAAAAUGGAAAAAAUAAGUGAUAGAAAUCAUAUCAAACAUAACAUUAUUUCAAAGAUAAAUGAACUAAAGCCAAAACACAAAGAGUUAACUGGAAUGGUUUGUGAGGCAAUUGUUAAAAACUUUACAUACGUUGUCAACCAGAAUGUAGGUAAUCCAAGUGGUAUUGAGGACGGCCUACAUGCAUCAAUAAAACACAUAUUUGGCGAACAUGAUAACUGCAAUGAAACUUGGUGUGGAUACCUUAAAGACAAGGAUUCCUAUAUCCAUUCAAAUCUUCCUCGUGGAAAAGACCUAUGUUCGUCUGAACACAGAUCAGAUCUUGAGAAACUGUUUAUUCAAAAAAUGGUUCCACAGUCUAAAAAGCUAUCUAACUUGGGCUCAUCACAGGCAAAUGAAAGCUUUAAUAACUUAAUUGCUCUCAAAGCUCUAAAAACCAAACAUUUCUCCACAUCAGCAUCUUUAAAUUACAGAGUCAGCUCAGCCGUACUCCAAAAGAAUGAGGGUUAUAAUUAUGUUGCUGAGUUAAACACAUCUAUAGGCCUGUCACCUGGAAAUGAGACCCUAAGCUGGGGUAAUAAAUUAAACAAGAAGAGAGAGGGCAACAAAAACAGAUUAAAAAGCAAACAGGGAAAAAAACAACAUAAAGUUCUCAAAAAGAAACGCCUACAAAAACAACAGUGGCUGAAGUCAAAGAAGGGAGAACAUACCACAGUUCAAUUGGGUUAGAAGAUUUUGCAACAAUAGACAUAGAAGAAAUACCUGCAGUUCCUGAAGCUGAAACCUUUACAAACAUAGAUGAUGCACCAAUAGUUUGUUUUGAUUUAGAGACA